AGGACUUGGGAUUACAUACAACCGCCUGGAAAUUGCAGUUGUUGUCGUUUGCUAUUGAGGACAAAAAUUCUGCACGGUUCAACAAACGACGCAGCGUGACAACCUGCCAUUUCCAUUUUGGACUGCUCACUCGACGUCGGGGAUCGUCGACCCUCUUCAGGGCUUCGUCGAAGUGACGCGACGCGACACUCGAUACUCUCCGGUUUGUUAUAGUCCGUCGACUGAUGCGCGGUCAAUGGAUAACACUCUGCCAGUCGGGGAGAAGCGUCGGGGAAGGAUGCCUGGCUCUACGAGUAGACUGGAUCCACCGUGACGACGGGGUUGGAGGCAGACGGCAUUGUUCAUGGCCUACAUCUGUUCGCGGAAGACGCGUCGUCGUCGUCCUUCCGUCUAUACGACCACCCCGCCGACCACUUGCUGUCGAUAUUGCCUGCUCGUGGUCUACCCUACGUCAAUUCCUGCUCCUCGACGCCGAGGUUCGGCGAGAUUAGACCAUGUCUAAAGAUGAAACAAGGUACCCCAUGACUGGGAUUGUCGUCUCGUACUGCCGGAGAAGAGAUAUUCAACGAGAGAAUGCCAGAAUUGUUGGCAAUCUUGAUGAAGCAUAGUUAACGACGAUUUGUAUUCACCUUUGUUUGUGUAUGACAUUGACGAAUAAAGAAUAGAACUUGACUUAAAA